UCCCCAGGGAUCCAGUGGUGAAGACGCUGCACUUCUAAUGCAGGGAGUGCAGGUUCAAUCCCUGGCUGGGGAA
rfam:TPA: Bos taurus chromosome 15, whole genome shotgun sequence.